rnacentral:rRNA from 1 species
UACGUAGGGUGCGAGCGUUAAUCGGAAUUACUGGGCGUAAAGCGUGCGCAGGCGGUUUUGCAAGCCGGAUGUGAAAUCCCCGGGCUCAACCUGGGAAUGGCAUUUGGGACUGCAAGGCUCGAGUGCGGCAGAGGAGACUGGAAUUCCUGGUGUAGCAGUGAAAUGCGUAGAUAUCAGGAGGAAUACCGGUGGCGAAGGCGGGUCUCUGGGCCGAUAUUGACGCUGAGACGCGAAAGCGUGGGGAGCAAACAGG